AAUACGUAGGGUGCGAGCGUUAAUCGGAAUUACUGGGCGUAAAGCGUGCGCAGGCGGUUCGUUGUGUCGGCGGUGAAAGCCCCGGGCUCAACCUGGGAAUGGCCGUUGAAACUGGCGUACUGGAGUGUGGCAGAGGGGGGUGGAAUUCCGCGUGUAGCAGUGAAAUGCGUAGAGAUGCGGAGGAACACCGAUGGCGAAGGCAGCCCCCUGGGCUGACACUGACGCUGAGGCGCGAAGGCGUGGGGAGCGAACGGGA
rnacentral:rRNA from 1 species